rnacentral:lncRNA from 1 species
GGAGAAUCGUGCGGUAUCCGUCGCAGGAUCGUGGCCGUUAUUGUGGCCUGCCAGGGAGUAGUGGAGCUGCGCGAGAUCCGUCGUAGGAAGUGGAGCAGUGCUGUGACCGUUACUGCGGCCUGUCAGGGAGUGAUGGAGCUGCGCGGAAUCCACCGUAGGAAGUGAAGCAGGAUCGUGGCCGUUAUUGUGGCCUGCCAGGGCGUGCAGAUCCGUCGGCUAAAGUUCGACAGCGGU